rnacentral:rRNA from 1 species
UACGGGGGGGGUAAGCGUUGUUCGGAAUUACUGGGCGUAAAGGGCUUGUAGGCGGCCAACUAAGUCAGACGUGAAAUCCCUCAGCUUAACUGGGGAACUGCGUCUGAUACUGGAUGGCUUGGAUUCGGGAGAGGAAUGCGGAAUUCCAGGUGUAGCGGCGAAAUGCGUAGAUAUCUGGAGGAACACCGGUGGCGAAGGCGGCAUUCUGGACCGACAUUGACGCUGAGGAGCGAAAGCCAGGGGAGCAAACGGG